AGAGUUAAGGAAUACACUCUGAAAAUCAGAGGAGAGUGCCGCAGGAACUAACAAAAUCGACCCCUGAACUCGUCUCCGUCAAUGGCAGCAUCUUCUUGGCCAUUUUCGAUGGUUUCAGCUAAAGCCUAAACAACGACCCCCAGCUAAACAGACCCGUCUCCAGCCGCCUUCACCAAAUCUCACCGGAAAUGGCGACCAACAGUGACAAAGGGCCAUUGACGUGACUGAAACCUUCAAAUCCGGCGUCUCUUCUGAAACCUUCAGACCCGGUCCUCUUCUCCUUCAUCUUCUGUUUUUUUUUUUUUCUGAAAAUCCGGCGGGACUCCUGCCAUUGUUGAACUGAGCGUGCACCAGUUUAAUCGUGUACGUUUUCCGGCGAUUUUCGGUCCAAGAUAACACUUGAACACAAAAAUUCCCUCGGAGUUCCUUUGUUUCCAGUGAGGUCGUCGAUUUGUCGAGGUUGUCGAGUUUCAGUCCAGUGUUCGUCUGCGGCCUAGUUCGAUUUUGAAUUGUGAAAUUAUUGCACAAUUGAAAGUUCAGAUUCAUAUUUUAGCCUUUAUGUAGCUGGCUUGUUAUCAAACUCUCAGGUGAUAAGAAAUUUUCCUCAAGUUAAUCGCGAAGUUUUUGGCAAACCUUGACGGCAUGUCACAUUUGGUGUAUUCUGUUAAAGCAAACGCACCUCAAUUAUACUGAAGGCAUUGUAUUUCAAUUGGAUUCUUCUUGAAUUAGAGGGUUAAUCUACUCGUGUAAAUGGCAACACGAUGGUUUGGAAAUUGUUCACAUAUACACUAGAUCUUCAUGACUGACACCUUGGCAUAAAUUGUUUCUUCAUGAAAUUUACCUUCUUUUUAUCUUUAAGGCAACCAUUAAGAAUUUGUCAGAAUCUCACGUUUUAAUUUGCAGUAGUAUAUGUCAUUGUUUUUAGCAUUU